CAGCCCUAGAAUUUGUCUGAAUGCCAGAAGUAACCUCUGGGUUGAUGGGAGUUGGUUUUGGUGGACUCUAGAAAAAGUCUCCUUUGGGAGAAGAGACCUGCUACCGAUGAACACCAGUCAAGAUGCCGUGUUCUACUAGCAAAGAAAAAUGGACACAACAAAGGAAUGUAUAUGAAUUUAAUUAUAGCCACACAUUGAAAGAAGGAAAGAGUAGGUAAAUUCAUGGGGCAUUGUGGUUUCUUAAUUGUUUAUAACCGGGACUCAAUUUUCUCACCGGUUGUGCCAGUUUUGUCAACUUGGCAAAAACUAAAGUCAUCAGAGAGGAGGUGUCUUCAAUUAAGAAAAUGACUCCAUAAAAUUGGCCUACAGGUUCAAUUGCAGCAUGAACAGAGAAGUAGUUUUUGCCCUGUCUACAGCCACUCUUCCAGAACUAUCAUCCAACUUUGUAAGUAGCCUGAGAACCCAAGACCACCUAGCCCAGGAUGGCAUCACCUACAAAAGGAUGGGCCCUCCUCCAUCAAACUCUAAUUAAGAAAAUGCCCAAUAGUAGUGGAUCUCAAUCUAUGAGUGGCAACUCCUUUGGGGGUCACAUAGAAGAUAUCCUGCAUAUCAGAAUGGUAAUUUGUAAUCUACAUUGCAAUUGAAUUGUAAUUUGCAUGACAAUUCAGAACAAUAGCAAAGUUACAAGUAGUAAGGAGCAACAGAAAAAUGUUAGGGUUGAAGUCACCACAUGUGAAACUGUACUAAGGACCACAGAUUUAGGAACAUUGAGAACCACUGCCCUUCAGGGUUACCUGCAACCCAGUCUUAUGGGGGCAUUUUGUCAGUUGAGAUCCCCUUCUCUCUGAUGAUUCUAGCUUGUGUCAAGUUGAUAUAAUAUUAGCUGAUACAACUCUAUUGUAUAGAAAAGGAACACAUAGAAUAGAUAUCCUUAAGGCUAGUGGGUAAGAGUCUCUGUAGGAAAGAAUCUUCCAGGCUCAUCACUUCCCAAUGUAAGCCAGCAUUGACUUCAGAGCUUGCCUGACCUGAAGGUAACAGUUCAUUCAGACUUAUGUGUUGACAGAAAAUGUCUUGUGUCCAGUAGACUUUGCCCAUAGGUAACCCUCAGAACCUGGGAAGGAGUAGAAAAAAUAUUGAGUCAUUGCAUAAAUGCAUGACCCUCUGAGGCAGGGUUGCCACUUUUCCUAUUUUCAAGUCUCAAAGUGUUGGGGGGGGGGUCCUAACUGAACCAAGUCAAGCACCGUAUUUGUAAGAUGCUCUACAGUCAUAGUCCAAUGCUCCCCCAGGUGCUACUCUCUACAUUGCCUCAUGUACAGCAUCCCAUCAAUUGCUAACAAGUUUAUGAAUAGUAUUUUAAUUACUUUUCUGUUGCUGUGAUAAAACACACUGGCCAAGGCAACUUAAGGAAGCAUUUAUUUUAGUUUACAGUAUCCAAGGGGCUAAGACCCCCAUCACAUUAAGAGGGCACAGUAAGUGGCAGGCAAGAGCAGGAGUUUGAGAGCUCCCAUCUUGUAGAAGUGUGAAGCAGAGCAAGGGAACUGAGAUGGUGUGAGGUUAUAGUUUCAAAGCCCAUCCACAGUGACAGUCCUUCAAUAAGGAUGCCCCACCUUUCCAAACAGUGCCACCAACUGGGAAACAAGGAUUCAAAUAAGUAAGUCUAUGUGGAAAAUUUUCAUUCAAACUCCUACAAUUAAUGUCACCCUUUUAAGAUUGAAGCGAAAGCAACCAAAUUAAGCCUAUAGGACCAUGGUGUUGCUAUUUGGUGAUAACAGCAGGUCUACCUGAACUAGAUUAUUAUGGGUACUCCUGGGUGUGUUCCCGUGAUACAUCCCACAGGACAUGACACACUUGUAGGCAUCUGAUGUGAUGUUCAUGCUAAGUAUAUUCUAUGUGAAUAUUUGAUCUGGGUGUAGAAAGAUGGGGAGCUACUCUCUAUCUCUUUAAUGGAGAGGGGUCUGGAUGGUACAUGCAUAUGUAUCUGGGAAGGUAACUUGUACUAGCUGAAGAGUAGAAUUACUUUUGUAGCCUUUUAAUGUGCUUUUUCAUUGCUUACCUGGCAUGGCAUUAAUCAUGGCAGGUUUUAAAUGACUUUAAAUCCAAUUUUCCGUUCUCUUGAAUGCCAGCCACAUAGCCUUGUUUACAGGGAACACUAAACAAAGCAGAGGAAGAAAAAAAAGGUUCAAUCAAUUUUCCUUAUCGCUAAUUGGGGAUUUAUUACUGGCUCAUUUGCUUUCAAUAGCAGGAGGGGGUACACCCUUUAGAGUCUGGAUCCUGGGAAGCUUGUGAUUAUUGCAACUCUAUAACCACCCUGUAAGGGAGCAGAGUGAGGAAGACAAAAUGAUAUCAUUCUGUAUUUAUCAGAGGGAUGGGACAAACUGUGUGGAUCAUGCCAGAAGCUUAGGCAGAAGGGAAGGGGCUACUCCCCAGUGCUUUGCAGAAGAAAUGACCCAAAGACUUGUGUUCAUUGUGUAUAUAUUGAUGAACUUCUGGUGGGUCCCUACUGGGAGUGAGCCCUCUGCUAGGCAUGUGGGAGUGGAUUGUGCUAGAGAUACACCUUAGUAACAGAGGGGGGCAGUGGGGCCUUAUGGCAUUGGACAUUGUGAGCUGCAGAAGGAGGUAUGGGAAAGGGCAAAAAAAGUUAUUCUUCCUGCCAGAAAAAAAGACCAGUUUCUGUUUUUUUGAAGGGUGAAUAGAAAUACAGAGCUAUAAAGAGACCAGAAUAAUCAAGAAUCAGUCCAGAAGCCUGCCAUUUCACCUAGCAAAGAAUGAACAAUUACUGAGUAGAGGGGUACCUGCGUGACUGUUAGAGCUGUUAGCAUAGCAACCCUCCUAGAGGGCCUAAAGGCUCCAUGGAGGACUUCACCAGGCUUCAUUCACCAGGAUGAGGAUUGGGUACAUGGAACACAGCCCAGAGUUUGUAGCUGGCAGAUAAAGAUUCUACAGAAGCUUUUUAAGAUGUGGUCAGACAAAUUAGGAGGUGUGAUAGUUUGAAUGUCUCACAUAAGUUCACAUAUUUGAAUGUUGGGUUCUUGGUUAGUGGAACUGUUUGGGAAGGACUUGGUGUGCUCUUGUUGGUGUGGAGUGUCACUGGGGGUGGGCUUUGAGGUUUCAAAACCUCCUGCCAGGUCUACUCUUUCUCUCUGUCUCUGUCUCUAUCUCUUUGGAGAAAAGAGUAUUAUCUAGAGUUGUUUCACAAAAAGAUAGUCAGAGUCAAGAAGGCAGAAGAUAGAAAUAGGCUUGCAAGGCAGGAGACAGACAACAUGACUAUCUCCAUUCUGAUUAUGGGUUCAGACUCUGAAGGUCACUAAGCAAGUAUCGGGGGCCAGAUAUCAUUUAUCUACUGCUACUCAGAUUGCAGUUAGCCCUGUCCUCAUUUACCAAUGACUAGGAUUAAAGGUUCAGUCCUCCACGGAGAGGACCAAAAGGAGGAAAGAUUAGAAAGCAUUCACAGAUGCAAGCCAUUGACUUCUUUAAUCAAGUAAAAGGAAAAGAGCCUACUUGGAGGCAGAUUUGUAGUUUCUCUAGUUGCAAUAUAGAUGGUGGUUUUUGAUUAGGUGAAUGUGUUUCCCUUGACUCUUUGCAAAUAGUCUGGAGGAAUUUAGGUGCUGGACUCAUCUAGGCUAAUGUUCUUCCAGGGUUUUUUCUACCACCAUCCUUCAUGGGUUAUAUAUACAUGGCAUAAACGACCUUAGAGAGUCUCUCAGAACUGUGGAACAAUGUACAGAAGAGAGAUGUCUACAUUCAGCUCAUACCCAACUCCUCACAGAGCUCUUGGCUUUGGGGAGCACCUGCUGGCUCUACCAUGUCAGCUUCUCUCCUGUUGUGCCCUGAGCUCAACCCUCCAAGAUCUGAGACAUCCUCAUAUACUUGCCUCAUUUCUACUGUUGUCCAAUACCCUGCCCUAUUUUCCAACACCCCUCUCCCAUAUCUUUCAGCCUCAGUGGCUACUGUUUUCCCUGUUCCAGGCAACAAAUUCAAAAUUAACUGGCAAUAGAGGAGAAAAUUUCCAUUGUACCUCUGAUGAUUUAUCUGACCAAAAGCGUCAGUCCAUUGACCAAUCAUGAAUUCAAUUAUUUUCACCAGAAUUUUCUGCUCAGGAGACUUUAUCACUUUCUUCAUGAGUAAACUAGAAACUUCCUAGAGCUAAAAUUAAUCUCAGAGAUGGAAUCAUCUAGUUUAGGAAAGGCCAAAGUAUGUCACUCCUGGCACCCCUUGCCAGCUGCACACUGGCAGACAUUACCAAUAGAACACAGAAUUCCUUCUAAAAACACCACUACAGGAAGCCAUUAGUAAUCAAUCUCAGACAACUUGUCAGCUAAAGCAGGUAGAGUGUCUGGCAGGAAGCAAACCUACUAACAUGGAAUUUUGAGAGACGGAAUGAAGGCACUCUUCAUAAAGGGAGGAAGAGAGCCAGCAGCAACAGGUAUGAUGGGAAUGAGGAAGAAAAUGAAAGAAUCAAAGUGAAAAGAUGAGUUCAAAGCUGGAGCCAGGAGUAGGAAUUACGGUAAUGCUGUGAACACAGGCAUCAAUGGAGAGCUAGCCCAAGGCAGCAACAAAGAAACCAAUCCCCACUCUCCUUCUCUCCUCUGCCCUCUAUCUUCAAACAAAUCAUUGAUGAAGCUUCCAGAAGCCAGUAGGCAGAGGCUUAUGUGCUUCAGCUUUUGUGUGGCAGAUUGACACAGAUUGGUUGUCAAUGGAUGCCGGCAAUGGUAUGUUUAAAAAGAUAGUUUAGUGAGGUCUGCCAGUGUACAACAACAAAGAGGAGGUGUGAGUGCCAGGUAGUGAUGUUUCCUGAACUAGCUGAUCCCAUCACUGAGGUUUCUUUAAAUUCUGGAACGCCUCUAAGUUUCCCUGCAGUACAGGACAUGAAGGAGAAGGUUGAGCAUGAGGAGACUCAUGCAUUUCCAUCAGGGGAAGUCUGCUUGAAGGCAGGUUCCCUAAAAGAAUCCCUGAAGCAAUGGAGCUUUAAAUGGAAUUAUGUAGCUUUUCCAUGACAUAAAGAUCAGGAGGCACCUUAAAGGCUUCAAUGAAGACAAAUUAAAAGAGGGGAGAUACUGAACCUGGUCCCAGGUACAGGCGGUGUCUACAGAGCCAUUCUUCCUGUUUUCUUUAAAAUGUUUUAUUUACUUUAGUUUUGUAUGUUUGAGUGUGAUUUGCUAGGACUACUUGUGUGUGUGUGUGUGUGUGUGUGUGUGUGUGUGUGUGUGUGUGUGUGUGUUUCGUGCCCAUGGAAGCAAGAAGAAGGCAUUCAAUAUCCUGGAAUCGGAGCUAUAGAUGAUUGAUAGCUGCCAUGUGGGUACGAGCAAGAGAACCCAUAUCCUCUACAAGAACAGCAAGUGCUCUUGACAGCCCAGCCAUCUUCCAGCCUUCUUUCUGUUCUCUUUAGACAAGAGCUUGACACUACUCUAUAGGCUGAGCCUUGUGGCGGGGCUUAGCCUCCCUACAAGAACAAAUGUCAGAAGGGACACUGGGAAACUUCAGCUGGUAGAGUACAGGUGGACAACCCAGUGAGGGGGUCUGAGUUGAGCAUCAAUACUCUUCAUCUGGAUGUGAGCAUGAUGUUCACUGCUUUUAGUUGGAAGAUUUAAAAACUUUUAAGUUUUCUUUGAUUCCAAAUUAUAGCAGUAAAAUGUCCUCUGUGUUUAUGAGGGACGUGUUAACUACAACUGAGAGCUCAAGAAAAGUUUAAGCUGGAACCUUCUAUUCCCUCAUCACUCCCUUGCCAAAGUUCUUCUAUGACAGACACCCCAAACUUCAGGGUCUUGGAGACGUUGUGCUCAGAAAGUCAGGAGCAGGGAAAACUGGAAGGGGGAGCAAUACAUAGCUAGGGGACAUUUUUGACACAUAGCAAAUUCCAAGUGUGUUCCUGGACCUCAGUCUCUAAGAGUCACAGAGCUAAGAGAAACAAAGCUUGGGUGGCAGUAUAGGAUCUCAAUCUGUGGGCCAAGCUGAGCCAUACUUUUGCAACAUGAUGGUAUGCUAUGAUUGCCCACCCCUUGCCUAGGGGCAAGUAGCCCUGUGCCCCAACAUUUGCCCCACCCCUGACACACACACCAGAAGGGGUCAUGCAUCCUGGUAGCCAGGUUAAAUUUGCUCUCCUCUUAUAAAGUCAUGUCCAGCAGCACCUGGAAUUCCUCCUUAUGCAAAUGAGGCAUCUUCAGUCUCCUAGCCCUGGCCAAUGACAUACACUCACCUCUAAAUCCCCUCCCCACCCCCAAAGGUUUAAGUUGCCUGUGCCCCCCCCCAUUAAAUGAGCUAUCUCACUGAAGCCAUCUCCAGAAAAGGAAUGAAAAAUGUUUCACAUAAAUACUUAACAGAGUUUUAAGAGGGACUAAUUAAAUGAUUGUUACAUUGUUCUCUUAAAGGAAGAUUAAACAGGCCAACUAACCCAGAAACAGUGCUACAAACAUCAUUGUUAUCAAGUAACAUCAAAAGUUAUGUAAACCACUCAUGAUGGAUAUUCAUUUUAUAAGAUUCUUUCAACCUCUAUUUUUGUUACUUUCAGCAAAUGGUUAUUAGAACACAUACAUGUUACUCUGAGGAUAUACAUACAUAUACACAUAUAUAUGUGUGUGUAUACAUAUACAUAUAUAUAUAUAUAUAUAUAUAUAUAUAUAUAUAUUUAUGCUCACACCCAGAGGAGUGAUGUUGAUGCUCAACUCCCUUGCUGAGUUGCACACCUAUACUCUACCAGCUGAAGUUUCCCAGUGUCCCCUCUGAUGUUUGUUCUUGUAGGAAGGCUAAGCCCCUCCACAGGGCUGAACCUACAGGGUAAUGUCAGAUUCUUGUCUAAAGAAAACAGAAAGAAGGCUGGAAGAUGGCUCAGCUGUCAAAAGCACUUGCUGUUCUUGUAGAGUAUCUGGGCUUUGUUCCUCAUACCCAUAUGGAAGCUCACAAUCAUUCAUAUAUAUAUUCAUAUAUAUAAUAUAUAAUAUAUUAUAUAAUAUACAUAAUAUAUAAUAAAGAUAUAUAUUUAUCUUUAUAAA